GAGUGCCAUGCCAUCACACCUUAUCAUGGACACCUUGUUGUCAUGUCAUCACUUUCAAUGACGUGACAAUGAUGUGUUAGUGAUUGGGCAUGAUGACGUGACACUCCGU
rnacentral:pre_miRNA from 1 species